rnacentral:ncRNA from 1 species
UAUUCUCAGGGCGGGGUGGAAUUCCCCACCGGCGGUAACCCUCUAUGGGAAGCCCGCGAGCGCUUUGCCCAAAAACGAAUCUGGAAAUCCGGAUCGGGCAAAGGUCAAGCAGAUCUGGUGAAACUCCAGGGCCGACGGUCACAGUCCGGAUGGAAGAGAAU